GCCGGGUGUGGUGGCGGGCGCCUGUAGUCCCAGCUAUUGGGGAGGCUGAGACAGGAGAAUCACUUGAACCCAGGAGGUGGGGGUUGUAGUGAGCCAAGAUUUUGCCACUGCACUCCAGCCUGGGUAACAGAGUGAGACACUGUCUCAA
rfam:Gorilla gorilla gorilla genomic chromosome, chr1, whole genome shotgun sequence